AAUUACAAUAAUUACAACUUUUACUGUGAAUAAAUUUUGGACACUCCUUACUUGCAGUGUUUUAAGGUACAUCAUGACUUUUUAUACAAAUGGAAAUUACAGGGCUGCUCUGUUUGGUCUGCAAAUCAUGCGAGUUGGUGCAAGAUCUUAGUACGAGCCACCCCAAGUGAGCAUUAGAUCUCCCUUGGCUGUCACAGAUAUGGAUCGUGCUGAGCUCUUAGCGUUCAGAGACUUUUUGCUUUCCCUCUUUUGCACUGACUUGUAUUAUGUAUCUUGAUUGGUCAGUUCUUUUGUAUAUAUAGCUUUUCUGUACUUAGUAGCUUCUGUAUCAGUGACAUUAGGUCUCGUAUUAGUUUUCCUUCUUGGUCACUUUUGGGCUUCUUUUGUAUAUUUUGUAUCAUACUUACAGAUCUAUACUAUGGCAUGUUUCCAUAUAUAAUCCAUGUUUCCGUUUAUUCUUA